ensembl:lncRNA
CGGGGGAAGAAGCUCCCUGCUCUCCUCUGGGGAUCAGAUGACCAGCAGGCGUCGCCAUCUCACCACUAGGGGGUGUCUGUGCGUCGUACAUGCGCUUCCGUGGGAAAGAAGAAGAACGGCUGACGGAGACUAACGUUGUACCUGUUUACUUGUUACAUGUAUUUAAGCCUGCGUACUCCCACGUUAGUGAUGUUUGCAUGUGUGGAAAAGUCUUAGAAGAAGGACGGCUGACGGGAGGCUAAACAGCAGGGCUCUCAACUUUUCAAGAAACCUGUGACAUUUUGUCGGGGCUGGACGCUACAGCCCGCAGUUUCCACCCCCCGUGUUCCGCCCACUGCCACGUCCCUUUCUUUGGCUCGGCUGUGGCUCAUCUCGGCGAUCGCUUCUGGCUGGGUCAAACGCUUUGGCGCUAUGGCGCUUCCACGACACAUCGUCUGUCUUUCCGGUUACCAAACUGGCCCCCAGAUGAUUCUUGUCUCAACACAAACGGUAAGAGUCUUAACCUCUCUGUGUGUGUUCUACCUCUCUGUCGUGCAGCAUUGAUCCUGAGUAGUACCAAGGAGUACUCCGGUUGUGUUCCGGCCUCCACACAGUGUGCCGCCAUGUCUCCAAACUGUGUCAUAGUGGGAGAUCGGUGGAGUUUGGAUCCCGACUCCGGUGGUGCAAGAGGAGUCUUUAUUUGGUUUGCUACAAGGUGGUUUGUUUAUUCUUUUGUUGUUGUUUGUUCACUUGGUUGGAUUAAACCUGCUGCGUGAGCGUGCUUUUGGACUUACUGAUAUAUUUCCACUACUACACCAUGUCAUAACAGGAGUAAAGUUGUUACCGGUAUUUAGGACGUGAUUUAGAGAACAACGGAAACACUGUUUGUCUUUGCCGUAUCACCUGGAAGGGAGAA